UACAGAGGUCCCGAGCGUUGUUCGGAUUCACUGGGUUUAAAGGGUGCGUAGGAGGGCAGGUAAGUCAGUGGUGAAAUCUCCGAGCUUAACUUGGAACUGCCGUUGAUACUAUCUGCCUUGAAUAUUGUGGAGGUGAGCGGAAUAUGUCAUGUAGCGGUGAAAUGCUUAGAUAUGACAUAGAACACCAAUUGCGAAGGCAGCUCGCUACACAUAUAUUGACUCUGAGGCACGAAAGCGUGGGGAUCAAACAGG
rnacentral:rRNA from 1 species